GAUUCUAUGGCCGACACUGCUUCCCAGCGUGUGAUUUACCUUCAUGGUGACCUAGACCUGAAGAUUCUCAAGGCCCGGGACCUUCCCAACAUGGAUUUAGUCACCGAGCAUGUCCGCCGUUGCUUUACUCUCUGUGACGCUUGCAAAACCCCCUCUGCCGGGAAGGAUGUCUCUACCCCCGACACUGAUGACCGCCCCGCCAGGCAUAAGCCCGGCGACAAGCGACUUGACCACCACCGCAAAAUCAUCACCAGUGACCCUUACGUUACCGUCUGCGUCCCCCAAGC
rnacentral:lncRNA from 1 species